rnacentral:lncRNA from 1 species
GUUCCCUGACCGGGAACAGCAGAAGAGAGACUGCCAGUGAGUCCCCUGCCAUUCGCAGACUGGACUGCGUACUGGAUUAAUUCCUCACUUCUCAACACUUGGGAGCUGAUAAACUUGUCACUGCUGGUUUGCAAACAACACCGGUCUAAUUCAUUUACUACAGAAAUAGCAGUGACACUUGGAGUUCUGAGACAGGUAAACCGGCACAAGGUGGAGCUGCCUGGGCCCCCCGUGGACCAUGCCUCAAAUGCAGCUGAAGACAUUGGGCAAGAGAGUGCCCCAUCCUGG